GAAAGGAGACCUAGUCAGGGUAGGGAAAAGCAGCACCCAGCAUCCCCUAGUCAAGGACAUCCGAGAACUACCAAGCUUUAAGGAUGCAGUAAAUCAGGAUGUUGAUGUAUUUCUAUGUAUA